AACGAACGCUGGCGGCAUGCCUAACACAUGCAAGUCGAACGAGACCUUCGGGUCUAGUGGCGCACGGGUGCGUAACGCGUGGGAAUCUGCCCUUGGGUUCGGAAUAACAGUUGGAAACGACUGCUAAUACCGGAUGAUGACGUAAGUCCAAAGAUUUAUCGCCCAGGGAUGAGCCCGCGUAGGAUUAGCUAGUUGGUGGGGUAAAGGCCUACCAAGGCGACGAUCCUUAGCUGGUCUGAGAGGAUGCUCAGCCACACUGGGACUGAGACACGGCCCAGACUCCUACGGGAGGCAGCAGUGGGGAAUAUUGGACAAUGGGCGAAAGCCUGAUCCAGCAAUGCCGCGUGAGUGAUGAAGGCCUUAGGGUUGUAAAGCUCUUUUACCCGGGAUGAUAAUGACAGUACCGUGAGAAUAAGCCCCGGCUAACUCCGUG
rnacentral:rRNA from 1 species